GAUGAACGCUGGCGGCGUGCCUAAUACAUGCAAGUCGAGCGAACAGACGAGGAGCUUGUUCCUUUGACGUUAGCGGCGGACGUGUGAGUAACACGUGUAUCAUCUACCUAUAAGACUGGGAUAACUUCGGGAAACCGGCUCUAAUACCGUAUAAUAUAUUGAACCGUAUUAUUCAAUAGUAAAAUACAGUUUUGCCGUUACCUAUAGAAGGUUCCGGGCCGCAUCUGCUAGGUGGUAAGGUAACGCCUUACCAAGGCGACGACGCGAAGCCGACCGGAGGGGGGGAGCGCCCACACUGGAACUGGGCCACGGUCAGGACUCCUACGGGAGGCAGCAGUGGGGAAUCUUCGGCAAUGGGCGAAAGCCUGACGGAGAAACGCCGCGUGGGUGAUGAAGGUCUUCGGAUCGUAAGACUCUGUUAUAGGGGAAGAACAGAUGUAGAAGUAAAUAUGCACGUUUUGACGGUACCUAAUCAGAAAGCCACGGCUAACUACGUG
rnacentral:rRNA from 1 species